rnacentral:lncRNA from 1 species
CUUGAGAACCCUCAGUUCUUUGGAUAAAUAGGAGGUUAGGUGCUCAGAGGAAGAGCCUGUGACCCCAUCAUAAAUAUUUAAGAGAAUCUUACUUUCAUUUCUGAAAGAGCCUUGCAGCUGUUUAUAGGGGUCAGCUUUUUCUGAGAGAAAAAAUUUUAUCCCAGGUUUUAGGGCUUUGACACUGACUUUGAGGUAAUCAGCAAUUCCCAGGAGCAUAACACACUACUGUGGUCCAAUCAGUUCUAUUUUUACUGAAGGUUGGCUCCCUGUGGCUCACACUUAACCUCUGUUAUUUCCUUAGUCUGCAGUGUAUAGUGGAAUAGAAGGGCUCAGCCCCCAGGAGAACCUCAUCUGAGGACCCAUAACCUGAGGGUGCUAUUGCAGGAAAAGCCAAAUGGAAGCUCCCAGAGCUGCCCUCCCUGCCAGAGAGUCAAAGGAAAGCAGAAACAUUUUCCCGAGGGAACGGCAGGGAUUUGUGUCGUCAUCAGAGACUGGAAAUACACAAGGAUGGUUAUACUUCUAUCACCAUCUUGGCGCAGAUGACCACAAGCUUAGUCAGGAAGAGAUUCCUAUUGCACUGAUUCGAUUUACUUACUGCAACAGAUCAGCAUGGACUCCGGCCCCUCAGGGGCAGCUACUUAUUGAGAAGAUGCAUUAGUCUACCUCAGUGAAAACACUGAUCACGAAGCAGUUUGCCUUGACCUUACAAGACACCACAAGCUGUCCACCUUCACUGCUGUGUUCCAAGGUUAUGUCCGAUGCUCUUUCUCCGCCACGAUUGGGUACAGAGGAUUGUACCCAAUACCACGAUUGGUCAUCUCGUCUCACCAUCUCAAGUGAUUUUAUUUUAGUUUGUCACAUCGAUGGCAAGUUGGAGUGUCUGGAGAGUAGAGGAACCUACACACUUAUGCCUUGAUGAGCAGCAUGAGAGGGUCCUGACACCUGAGACCAUGAGGCCCUCAAAUGAUGCUUCCAGGCAUCCCAGCCAGCGACAGAGACAGCGAAGCCUCACUAGUCUGGUUUCCAUACCUCCCGCUUGCCUUGAGCCUGGCUGACACAUGCCCUCCUUGUGAUGGAUGUCACACUCAACAGCGACAAGCAUUUGGGCACUUGGCGGAGAUUGUCCUGGGAAGGAAGCGUUCUUGUUGUCAUAAGGACAAAUGACUCAGUGAAUAUGAGCCUGGCAAACAGCUCCUGCUUCUAUGAACAGCCACGGACACCCCAAAGAAACCAUCGGGUACCAACACUGGCUUGAGACACGAACAAGCGUAUGGUGACGUGUACUGUUUCAGGUACCCCCACCUUCUUGGGGUCACUGGUUGCUUCUGACUUUAGCUAGUAGGAGUAUGACCCCAGUCUUCUGGGUCACCUGGGUAAAUCUCUGUAUCAUCUUGGCCUGACGCCCUGAUUUCUGUUCCCCGAAUCCCUCUUUUAUGCCACACUGUUGCUACAGGCUUCUAGACUAACAGAAUGGCCUUAUGGGAGGGAAGUGGGCCAUUUGGGUUUCACUUCCUCAUCCAACUGACCCCUGUCUCUGCUCACGUGUCCAGACUCAACACAGAGCAGUCCCUGUCACACUCUUAGGCAGCCCCCUUCUCCUAGGCUUCCUGUCACACCUGCUUGGACCGUUGCUGUAUUUGUUCUUGGGCAGUUGUAUGUCCUUGGAUUCUUAGUUUCUCUUAAUUUGGGCUGACGUGAGUUAGUGAAAAGAUAAGGUUGAAGAGGUUGAUAAAUGUCUCUUUCAACAGUCUCCUGGGGCUAAACUUUCCACCUACUGAGAGAGAGCACUUGGAAGUCACAUGGGCACUUUGGUGUCUUGUAGUGCCAUAGGGGAGCCUCUGGCAUUCUAUAGGUGGGGACAGUCAUCCUAAUAUUUUCACCAGAGCUUUCCCAUUGAAAAUACCAACAGCUUCCAUCCAAAGACACUGCUCUAACUGGAUCAGCAUUCUUUGCAGAGUUAGAGGUACCGGAUGGAAGAUCCUUGGAUAACAAAAAUCAGGCAAGUUACCUUUUAUGUGCUUUUGCUGUUUCUUUGAGUGUGUGUGUGUAGCAUAUCUGUGUGUAUGUAUAACAUGUACAGUAUGUACAUGUCCGUGAAGGGUUGAACACCUUUCAACAAGAUGUCUAACCUCUCUGAACCUUAUCUGAUUCUUCUGUAAAGGAGGAGUGAUGCCCCAAUUCCCCCAACUCACUGAGUAAUGAGAGGUAUAAAGGACUUCCCACAGUGCCUGGCUCACCGUAACUGCUAAUAAACAGUAGCUAUUACUAGUGGUGAUGACGAGCCUCCAGUGCUGGCCAUGCUGGAGCUCCCAGAGGGAACGGAUUUUCUCUCAUGGCUCACCCUCUUUCAUUUGCUACCCAGUAUGGAACUAGGUGUCAUUUAAAACCCACCAGUAUGUGGCAGGCCACAGUGAGGUGCCAUCAAACAUCAGGAGAGGCCCAGUCCUAAAGCCGUAUCCGGUCAUGCCUGCUUGCCAGGAAGGAGGAUCAGAGCGCUGGCUGGAUCAUCCCUGGAUUGGCUAGAGUGGAAUUGCCCCAGAGGGUCUCAUCUUGUUCAGCUGAGGAGGCCAGUGUUAAACUUUGGCAUGCAUUAGUUACCUGGAAGGCAGGAAGCCCUGUGGACCCAGUGAAGAUGGAAACACACCCCGGUCAACACUCAUGCGGGGAUGGCGCGGGAGAAAAUAUUGAUGCUGUCAGCCUGGAGUUAAUAUAUUUUGAGAACCACUGAGUUGGAGAAAUGAGAAGGACAUAACUGGAUCUAUCUGGAUCUUUGUAAUGGAUGAACCCAGUGAAUGGGGAAGCAUGCAGACAGCCCAGGUGUACACGGCACUUUAUGAAUAUUGGACAACUAUAGGAAAUGCAACUACGAGAUUUCUCCAGAGGAGGUCUGUGUGCCUUCUGUGAGUUGCUCCCUGGGAGAUGGAGGUCUGUGUGCAUUCUGUGAGUUGCUCCCUGGGAGAUGGAGGUCUGUGUGCAUUCUGGGAAUUGCUGUCUGGGAGAUGCUUAUGCCAGCAUCCUGGAAGCAGCUGCUUGGAAAUGAAAAGAACUGAGGACAUCCACUCUGACUUCUGACUCAAGAUAAUGAAGCCCUCAUCCAGUGGCUGAUGGAAGCAGAGACAGACAUCCACAGAUAUACACUGAGCUGAAAUCGGGAAUUUAGUUGAAGAGAGGGAGGAAUGAAGAUCGAAGGGGUCAGUACCAGGUUGGAGAAACCCACAGGAACAGUUGGCUGGAACAAGGGAGAGCACAUCGACCCCAGAUGCUGUCUGGGAGGCCAGUACAAGACUGAUCCAGACCCCUGAACAUGGAUGUCAAUAAGGAGGCCUCUGCACUCCAGGGAGCCUCUGGUGGUGGAUUAGUAUUUUUCCCUGGUACAAGAAGGGACUUUGAGAGCCCAUCCCACGUGAAGGGUUACACUCUGGCCCUGGACACAUGGGGAAGGGCCCAGGACCAGCACAGGAAGAUUUGGUGGACUUUGCAGAGCCCCCGUUGAGGGCCC